rnacentral:rRNA from 1 species
AUUUUGAACCGCAUGGUUCAAAAGUGAAAGACGGUCUUGCUGUCACUUAUAGAUGGAUCCGCGCUGCAUUAGCUAGUUGGUAAGGUAACGGCUUACCAAGGCAACGAUGCAUAGCCGACCUGAGAGGGUGAUCGGCCACACUGGAACUGAGACACGGUCCAGACUCCUACGGGAGGCAGCAGUAGGGAAUCUUCCGCAAUGGGCGAAAGCCUGACGGAGCAACGCCGCGUGAGUGAUGAAGGUCUUCGGAUCGUAAAACUCUGUUAUUAGGGAAGAACAUAUGUGUAAGUAACUGUGCACAUCUUGACGGUACCUAAUCAGAAAGCCACGGCUAACUACGUGCCAGCAGCCGCGGUAAUACGUAGGUGGCAAGCGUUAUCCGGAAUUAUUGGGCGUAAAGCGCGCGUAGGCGGUUUUUUAAGUCUGAUGUGAAAGCCCACG